GACUAAGAAAAUCCGAGUAGCAUGGUGCUUCCCUUUCUCUUCUGCUUCUUUCACAAGUUUUAGCUUGAAUGCUGCAGAAUAAUAUUUUGAGUCUGCACUGCUUCUUUUGCAUGCAGUACACAUGUCCU